GACCAGCCACACUGGAACUGAGACACGGUCCAGACUCCUACGGGAGGCAGCAGUGGGGAAUAUUGCACAAUGGGCGCAAGCCUGAUGCAGCCAUGCCGCGUGUAUGAAGAAGGCCUUCGGGUUGUAAAGUACUUUCAGCGGGGAGGAAGGGAGUAAAGUUAAUACCUUUGCUCAUUGACGUUACCCGCAGAAGAAGCACCGGCUAACUCCGUGCCAGCAGCCGCGGUAAUACGGAGGGUGCAAGCGUUAAUCGGAAUUACUGGGCGUAAAGCGCACGCAGGCGGUUUGUUAAGUCAGAUGUGAAAUCCCCGGGCUCAACCUGGGAACUGCAUCUGAUACUGGCAAGCUUGAGUCUCGUAGAGGGGGGUAGAAUUCCAGGUGUAGCGGUGAAAU
rnacentral:rRNA from 1 species